rnacentral:lncRNA from 1 species
AAACAUCCAAAUAACUGUAAGUUUUAGGUAUCUGACGCACGAACAAACACAUGCACAAACAACAAAACGAAUGAACGAACAAACAAACAAACAAAUAAACAAACAAACAAACAAACAACGAAGAAUAAAAAACAAACGGCAACGAACAAAGUAACAAACAUAGCAAACAAACAAACAAACAAACAAACAAACAAACAAACAAACAAACAAACAAACAAACAAACAAACA